rnacentral:rRNA from 1 species
GCGGCCUAUCAGCUUGUUGGUGGGGUUGUGGCCUACCAAGGCGACGACGGGUAGCCGGCCUGAGAGGGUGACCGGCCACACUGGGACUGAGACACGGCCCAGACUCCUACGGGAGGCAGCAGUGGGGAAUCUUGCGCAAUGGGCGAAAGCCUGACGCAGCGACGCCGCGUGGGGGAUGAAGGCCUUCGGGUUGUAAACCUCUUUCAGCAGGGAAGAAGCGAAAGUGACGGUACCUGCAGAAGAAGCACCGGCUAACUACGUGCCAGCAGCCGCGGUAAUACGUAGGGUGCAAGCGUUGUCCGGAAUUAUUGGGCGUAAAGAGCUCGUAGGUGGCGGGUCACGUCGGGUGUGAAAGCCCGGGGCUUAACCCCGGGUCUGCAUUCGAUACGGGCUUGCUAGGGUCCGGCAGGGGAGACUGGAAUUCCUGGUGUAGCGGUGAAAUGCGCAGAUAUCAGGAGGAACACCGGUGGCGAAGGCGGGUCUCUGGGCCGGUACCGACGCUGAGGAGCGAAAGCGUGGGGAGCGAACAGGAUUAGAUACCCUGGUAGUCCACGCUGUAAACGUUGGGCGCUAGGUGUGGGGAGCAUUCCACGUUCUCUGUGCCGUAGCUAACGCAUUAAGCGCCCCGCC